UUCAACUUUCAGUUUCCCUCUUUCUCUAAAACUUUGACCUAAUUUCCCCUGAGCCAAAAAUCCACACCAUCGUUUCCCCCAUUCUUUUCCAGUCACGCCUUUAAUCACAACAUUUUCUUCUUCCUUCGUCACCAUCUUCAUCCCAUUAUUCCUUAGUCACCAUAAAAAAGGGAGUGCCCUAAUGAUAAUUACAUAAAUAUUCAAGAAUGGUUUAACUUUGGGCAUAUUGUUAUCAUGCAAUGUUUCAAUAUUUGAAGAUGGCAAGAGCAAAGUGUAUGGUUUUGUUUGGUUCAAUUUUGAGGAAGGGGGAAUAACGUGAAAUGGAAGAAGACAAAAGCACAUCGGGUGAAAGAAGAAAUACACAAUGAAAAGGCACAUGAAAAUUAUAAAAAAUGAUCUUAAUUUGUAUCUGGUGCAACCUAACCGCCCUUCUGCAAUGAAAUUCUCUUGAAUAAUUUGGUUUAUGUCGAAGAGGAUCAUGAAAGAACAUCACAACAGUCAUCCCUUAUUUUGGAUACGCCCUUGUAGAGAAAAAGGAAGUGGGACAAGUUUGUGGAUUCAUACAGUCUCAUGCUAUUUUCCUUGGUCACAAAUUUGUGGAUUCAUAUUUUGUCAUGUUAUUUGCCUAGAAGAAAAACUCAAGAUGAAAAAUUAUACAAAGUUCUAGGUUUAUCAUGUUUCAUGUUUUUUCGUCAACAAAUGUUUAGUUCUAUAGUAUUAUGUUACGAGUGCAAGCUUAACAUUAUACUUUUUAAAGACAUUUGUAUUUUAAAUAUUGACAAUAUUGUUGUUA